AUGCCAUGGACGAUCCCUUCAUUACACCUAGGACCACUGCCUUACGGCUUCUCCGUAAGCAUUACAUCUUCGGAUUCCCCGAGGGCCAAAGAGAACACGGGACCGGAAGCGCUGACUCCCCCCGUGGUAUUUCCAGGGGCGGAGGAAGAUGGCGAAAUCCAUUGGGUAGUGGGAUCAGAAGAGGGCGGUUCACUCGGCCUGUGUCUGGGGCACUAUGGGUAUUGUAGUUCAGGGCUCCGCGGUCCUGCUUGCGGCGAGGAAUCUUGGAAGCCAGUGGGUCCAAGCUGGUCAGGGAAGCGCCUUGCACUGGGGCAUCAGGUGUGGAGUGGCUGCAGGGGCGUGUCUUCGUUCUGCUAUUUCUCUUUCGGGCCCUGGAAUUCUUCUCUGUCCUUCUUUCUCCCAAUGCCCUUUCCCUUAAUUCUUACCUUACUAUAG
rnacentral:lncRNA from 1 species